UACAGAGGUCCCAAGCGUUGUUCGGAUUCACUGGGCGUAAAGGGUGCGUAGGUGGCCAGGUAAGUUCGGUGUGAAAGCUCGGAGCUUAACUCCGAAAUGGCAUUGAAUACUAUCUGGCUGGAGGGUCGGAGGGGAGACUGGAAUUCUCGGUGUAGCAGUGAAAUGCGUUAGAUAUCGAGAGGAACACCAGUGGCGAAGGCGAGUCUCUGGACGACUCCUGACACUGAGGCACGAAAGCCAGGGGAGCAAACAGG
rnacentral:rRNA from 1 species